GACGAACGCUGGCGGCGUGCUUAACACAUGCAAGUCGAACGGAAAGACCCUGCUUUUGUUGUGUGCUCGAGUGGCGAACGGGUGAGUAACACGUGAGUAACCUGCCCUUGACUUGGGGAUAACUUCAGGAAACUGUGGCUAAUACCGCAUAGGAGCUCCUGCUGCCUGGUGGUGGUUGGCAAGUUUCGGUGGUUGGGGAUGGACUCGCGGCUUAUCUGCUUGUUGGUGGGGUAGUGGCUUACCAAGGCCUUGACGGGUAGCCGGCCUGAGAGGGUGACCGGCCACAUUGGGACGGAGAGACGGCCCAGACUCCUUCGGGCGGCAGCAGGGGGGAAUAUUGCACGAUGGGCGGAGGACAGAUGCAGCAACGCCGCGUGCGGGAUGAAGGCCGUCGGGUUGUAUACCGCUUUCGCCUGUGACGAAGCGUGAGUGACGGUAAUGGGUAAAGAAGCACCGGCUAACUACGUG
rnacentral:rRNA from 1 species